CAGUCUGACACAGUGGGAGAUAUUACUGUAGCUCAGAACACAAGAGGACGUCAUAACUCCACUGUACAUCUGACUGUUUUGUCAGGGAACUCAACAUUCAUAAUACAUAUCAUCAAGUGGACUCUGCUGCUCUUGAUGUUGAUUUCUCUGUUUCUCCUGACUCUGUGGACGAGAAAGAAGAAAACUCUGAACUCCACCAC